AGUAUUCCAGACAGUCCAAGGUCCUGCAACUGGUUCUUGCAGCCCAAAAGCAGUGUGUGCUGCAACCUGCUGCCCAGGAGCUGAGCAUACUUGCACCUGUUUCACCUGUAGAAAGCACACCCAAUAACUGUAAAAGAGAAAAAACCCUACAUUGUUCUUCCUCCUCCUGAAGGCUACCUCAUUAAUAGUCAGGAGGAUUUGGUCCAAUCACCAUCCAAUCCAGAUCCUAUUGACUCAAGAGGACACCCCAGCCGAUGCUGACCAUAAGUUACUUAAGAGGAGGAAACGGGGGAGAUAGAAAAAAAAAAGUGUUACCCAUUACCACAGAGGAAGUAUCCACCCCUCCAGCAGAGGGCGAUGUGCUGGAGAAAACAGAUGUUUCACAUCCCAGUGAUGAAGGGGACAGUCAGCACAGAGCGGCUCAGCAAGAACAGAAAGAGGGGAAAACAUUACAAAAAAAAAAAACGUUGGAUUGGUGCCUCGAGCAAGAGCUGUUGAAUUCAUGUAUGCACAGAGUGGAGAUGGAAAUUCAGAGGAGGUGCUCGACUUCCUUCGUACCACACACGAGAUCUACCUCUCUGAUCGCAAAUCCUCUGGCUCCUGUGUAGAAAGCGGCUCCUCUCUUUCCCUCACUGCAGCGGAGGCUCUGUUCUCUCUUCUCUCAGGCAGGACACUGCCCCCUGCUGAGAUCUGGAGGCUGUGUGGAUUCAGGGCUGUACUGGUCAAGAAUAAAGAGCAGUUAAAAUGAAAGCUGCAAGAACUCAGAGAUACAAGCAUAUCACCUGCAGAUUAGGUUUCAGUAGUCUGCAGUCUUAUUGAGUAUUGGCUGGCAGAUAUUCUGCCCAUGCAGAGACAGUAGAGGACAUGACGCCCCCCAGGGAAAAUAACUGAAUAACCAGCAGGUCUCUGAUUGUUAUAUCUCAUUAUGAAAGAGAUCUUCAGUCAUGCCUUUUUUAUAGUCAAGGAAUUCAAGAAACUCUGCAUCAAUGAGCUGCAGCGACAAUUUGGAUUCCUUUUGAAGACCCAGAAUUAAAUAUUCUAGUUUAUCUUGCCUUCACAUUAAUAAUUACGUAAGAAAAAUAAAUUUUUACACAUUCUCUGCUGCUUGUUCUUUCUUCACAGGGAGCCAGUGCACUCUCAGAGAUGUUAAAGAAAGUAUAUUUCUUCAAGACAAACACUAAAGUAUCAUUAUUGACUGUGACACUGACGGUCUUCCUCAGCUCAUUAUGAGGAGUCUGUGGUUUAGCCUUUUAGCAGCUAAUUAUCUUAACACCACAAGGUCAGCAGACCCUCACCAAUCUCACAGCCUGUGCCUCAUUUACAUUUCCUUUUUCUAUUUUGGGCCAUUGAUGUGACAAGCCACUGACUUUCACUGUGACUAGAAAAUUAUAUUUUAGUGCAGUUAUUAAGAUAUUUAUUAAAGUUUUAAUUCAA